rnacentral:rRNA from 1 species
AGAGUUUGAUCCUGGCUCAGGAUGAACGCUAGCGGCAGGCUUAACACAUGCAAGUCGAGGGGCAGCGCGGGGUAGCAAUACUCUGGCGGCGACCGGCGGAAGGGUGCGUAACGCGUGAGCAACAUGCCCGUGGCAGGGGGAUAAGCGAUGGAAACGUCGUCUAAGACCCCGUAACAACAGGGUUCGCAUGGACUUUGUUUGAAAGCUUCGGCGGCCACGGAUUGGCUCGCGUCCCAUUAGGCAGUUGGCGGGGUAACGGCCCACCAAACCGACGAUGGGUAGGGGUUCUGAGAGGAAGGUCCCCCACAAUGGAACUGAGACACGGUCCAUACUCCUACGGGAGGCAGCAGUGAGGAAUAUUGGUCAAUGGGCGGAAGCCUGAACCAGCCAUGCCGCGUGCAGGAAUAAGGCCCUACGGGUCGUAAACUGCUUUUGUACGGGAGCAAUAAGGGCCACGUGUGGUCCGAUGAGAGUACCGUACGAAUAAGCAUCGGCUAACUCCGUGCCAGCAGCCGCGGUAAUACGGAGGAUGCGAGCGUUAUCCGGAUUCAUUGGGUUUAAAGGGUGCGUGGGCGGCGUGCCAAGUCAGGGGUGAAAGGUUCCGGCUCAACUGGGACAGUGCCUUUGAUACUGGUGUGCUGGAGUGCGCUUGCCGUGGGAGGAAUGAGUGGUGUAGCGGUGAAAUGCUUAGAUAUCACUCAGAACACCGAUUGCGAAGGCAUCUCACGAAGGCGUAACUGACGCUGAGGCACGAAAGCGUGGGGAUCAAACAGGAUUAGAUACCCUGGUAGUCCACGCCGUAAACGAUGAUGACUAACCGCCGGUCCGAUAGGGUCGGUGGCCAAGCGAAAGCGAUAAGUCAUCCACCUGGGGAGUACGACCGCAAGGUUGAAACUCAAAGGAAUUGACGGGGGCCCGCACAAGCGGAGGAACAUGUGGUUUAAUUCGAUGAUACGCGAGGAACCUUACCCGGGCUCGAACGGCAAGUGAAGAGAGACAGAGAUGUUGACGUCCUUCGGGACACUUGUCGAGGUGCUGCAUGGUUGUCGUCAGCUCGUGCCGUGAGGUGUCGGCUCAAGUGCCAUAACGAGCGCAACCCCUGCUUCCAGUUACCAGCACGUAAAGGUGGGGACUCUGGAGGGACUGCCACCGCAAGGUGAGAGGAAGGGGAGGAUGACGUCAAAUCAGCACGGCCCUUACGUCCGGGGCGUCACACGUGUUACAAUGGCGGCCACAGAGGGAAGCUACCCUGCGAGGGGAUGCGGAUCUCGAAAAGCCGUCUCAGUUCGGAUCGGAGUCUGCAACUCGACUCCGUGAAGCUGGAUUCGCUAGUAAUCGCGCAUCAGCCAUGGCGCGGUGAAUACGUUCCCGGGCCUUGUACACACCGCCCGUCAAGCCAUGGAAGCCGGGGGCGCCUGAAGUUCGUGACCGCGAGGAGCGACCUAGGGCGAACCUGGUAACUGGGGCUAAGUCGUAACAAGGUAGCCGUACCGGAAGGUGUGGCUGGAACACCUCCUU